rnacentral:lncRNA from 1 species
UGUCCAAUAAGAGAAAUACAAAUUAAGAUCUCUACUUGUUAUUAUGUGAGACCCUAAAGAUUAUAAGUAAUCUUUACUUGUACCCUCAUGACUCUGAUCUGUUACUUAAGACUUAGUUUAAUGUUUGCUAUCUUAGGGUGUUGCCAAAGAACUAUGUUAGAUACGGUCUAGCAGGGCAUUCCUAGAAAAGCAGUUAAAUUAAGAUCAAGAGAAUCGGGAGAAAAGAAGGAUCAUUGAGUAUUAUCACAUUGGUUGUAUUCAUUGACUAGUCAAUUAUGUUUAUGAACUCAAAUGCAGUUAAUGAGAUCAGAAGAGAUGUAAAUGUGAUAAAUGUCUAGGGUAUAGCAUACUGCAUCUACUCUAACUCUACCAAUCAAAGAGCUAUAUUAUCUUAACAGAUAUAUAGCACUUGAGCUCUCGAAGUAUGCACUAGCCAUACGGUCCGUUUGUUUAGUAUGAAGGUUGCAGUGAUUGAGAAUGAAAGUUAAUCCCAUCAUGUAUAAGUGAG